rnacentral:rRNA from 1 species
UAAGGAAUAUUGCUCAAUGGGAGAAAUCCUGAAGCAGCAACGCCGCGUGGAGGAUGAAGGGUCUAUGACUUGUAAACUCCUGUAAAGAAGGAAAAAAUUCCCAUUUGAUGGGAGAUGAUGGUACUUCUGGAGUAAGCCCCGGCUAACUACGUGCCAGCAGCCGCGGUAAUACGUAGGGGGCAAGCGUUGUCCGGAUUUACUGGGUGUAAAGGGUGCUCAGGCGGAUUUGUAAGUCAGAGGUGAAAUCUUACAGCUUAACUGUGAAACUGCCUGUGAUACUGCAAGCCUAGAGUAUGGAAGAGAGUGAUGGAAUAUCUGGUGUAGCAGUGAAAUGCGUAGAUAUCAGAUAGAACACCAAUGGCGAAGGCAGUCACGUGGUCCAUUACUGACGCUAAAGCACGAAAGCGU